rnacentral:rRNA from 1 species
GAUGAACGCUGGCUACAGGCUUAACACAUGCAAGUCGAGGGGAAACGACGGGGAAGCUUGCUUCCCCGGGCGUCGACCGGCGCACGGGUGAGUAACGCGUAUCCAACCUGCCUCUGACUGAGGGAUAACCCGUCGAAAGUCGGCCUAAUACCUCAUGGUAUCGUCUGCGGGCAUCCAACGACGAUUAAAGAUUUCAUCGGUCAGGGAUGGGGAUGCGUCUGAUUAGCUUGUUGGCGGGGUAACGGCCCACCAAGGCUACGAUCAGUAGGGGUUCUGAGAGGAAGGUCCCCCACAUUGGAACUGAGACACGGUCCAAACUCCUACGGGAGGAAGCAGUGAGGAAUAUUGGUCAAUGGGCGAGAGCCUGAACCAGCCAAGUAGCGUGCAGGAAGACGGCCCUAUGGGUUGUAAACUGCUUUUAUGCGGGGAUAAAGUGAGGGACGUGUCCCUCAUUGCAGGUACCGCAUGAAUAAGGACCGGCUAAUUCCGU